rnacentral:rRNA from 1 species
UGCAGUCGAACGAUGAUGCCCAGCUUGCUGGGCGGAUUAGUGGCGAACGGGUGAGUAAUACGUGAGUAACCUGCCCUUGACUCUGGGAUAAGCCUGGGAAACUGGGUCUAAUACUGGAUACUACCUCUUACCGCAUGGUGGGUGGUGGAAAGGGUUUUACUGGUUUUGGAUGGGCUCACGGCCUAUCAGCUUGUUGGUGGGGUAAUGGCUCACCAAGGCGACGACGGGUAGCCGGCCUGAGAGGGUGACCGGCCACACUGGGACUGAGACACGGCCCAGACUCCUACGGGAGGCAGCAGUGGGGAAUAUUGCACAAUGGGCGGAAGCCUGAUGCAGCGACGCCGCGUGAGGGAUGACGGCCUUCGGGUUGUAAACCUCUUUCAGUAGGGAAGAAGCGAGAGUGACGGUACCUGCAGAAGAAGCGCCGGCUAACUACGUGCCAGCAGCCGCGGUAAUACGUAGGGCGCAAGCGUUGUCCGGAAUUAUUGGGCGUAAAGAGCUCGUAGGCGGUUUGUCGCGUCUGCUGUGAAAGCCCGGGGCUCAACCCCGGGUCUGCAGUGGGUACGGGCAGACUAGAGUGCAGUAGGGGAGACUGGAAUUCCUGGUGUAGCGGUGAAAUGCGCAGAUAUCAGGAGGAACACCGAUGGCGAAGGCAGGUCUCUGGGCUGUUACUGACGCUGAGGAGCGAAAGCAUGGGGAGCGAACAGGAUUAGAUACCCUGGUAGUCCAUGCCGUAAACGUUGGGCACUAGGUGUGGGGGACAUUCCACGUUUUCCGCGCCGUAGCUAACGCAUUAAGUGCCCCGCCUGGGGAGUACGGCCGCAAGGCUAAAACUCAAAGGAAUUGACGGGGGCCCGCACAAGCGGCGGAGCAUGCGGAUUAAUUCGAUGCAACGCGAAGAACCUUACCAAGGCUUGACAUUCACCGGACCGCCCCAGAGAUGGGGUUUCCCUUCGGGGCUGGUGGACAGGUGGUGCAUGGUUGUCGUCAGCUCGUGUCGUGAGAUGUUGGGUUAAGUCCCGCAACGAGCGCAACCCUCGUUCUAUGUUGCCAGCACGUGAUGGUGGGGACUCAUAGGAGACUGCCGGGGUCAACUCGGAGGAAGGUGGGGAUGACGUCAAAUCAUCAUGCCCCUUAUGUCUUGGGCUUCACGCAUGCUACAAUGGCCGGUACAAAGGGUUGCGAUACUGUGAGGUGGAGCUAAUCCCAAAAAGCCGGUCUCAGUUCGGAUUGAGGUCUGCAACUCGACCUCAUGAAGUCGGAGUCGCUAGUAAUCGCAGAUCAGCAACGCUGCGGUGAAUACGUUCCCGGGCCUUGUACACACCGCCCGUCAAGUCACGAAAGUUGGUAACACCCGAAGCCGGUGGCCUAACCCC